rnacentral:lncRNA from 1 species
AAAAGCGAAAACCGAGGGGUGGCCUCGUGAAACGCAUUUUCCGUGUUCCAACUGUAUCGAGGCGUGGGACCUACAAUCAAAAAUAAAAUAAAAUUAAUGCCCCUUCCAAAAAAAAAAAGAAAGAGAAAAAAAAGAAAAAGGGAAGUAAGAAGCCAGCUAGGGUUUGACUGCGAGAAAUUUCUGAUCUGCGUGAAUUUCUCAAAGAGAGGAAUCGAUCAUCGAUUCCGUGGAUUUCGUUUCCCUCCCUUUUUAUUUUUAUUUUUCGAGAAGCCAUCUCAAAGGAUCUGAGUUUAUACCGUUGCAUCCCCCGCGACUUUCGUUUUCCGAUUUCCCCCAAAUUCGAUGCAAAUCUAAGAAGAGAGAGAAAUAGAAAGGUGUGUGCGCUUCAACCGACUCAGUGUCUCUCUCUCUCUCUCUCUCUCUCUCUCUCUGUUGCUAUUUGAG